rnacentral:piRNA from 1 species
UCCAGAGAACUGCUAAUGAGGCCCC